rnacentral:lncRNA from 1 species
UAUGAGCUAAAAGCUGUGAAAUUCUCAAUACCCGUGCGAUUGUGCGUGGGCCCUCGUGAUGAGAUAGCCUAUAUAGAACCAUUUUUAUUAACUUGUCUUGAGAGCCAUAGCAAUCAAGCAACAAUGUUGGCCUCAAAAGUAUUCAGAGUACUUGUGACUGACUGCAGAUCAGCAAAGCAACUUGUCAGACCUCAGGCCCUGCUGGUCGGCCGUGUCCACUCCUCACGCCUGUACCACAUGCUCCGGACGUCAGAGGCAGGCCCUGGCCGCGCGCCGCGUUGGCCGGCCCACCGCUGGAGGGGGGCGCCCCUCUGGCUGUCAGCCCACUGCCAGAGCACCGACACCGGCGACUACAUACCCUCUCCGCCGCGGCCGCCUGGCUCUGACCAGCUGGCCGCCACCCCAGC